rnacentral:rRNA from 1 species
CUACGGGUGGCAGCAGUGGGGAAUCUUAGACAAUGGGGGAAACCCUGAUCUAGCCAUGCCGCGUGAGCGACGACGGCCCUAGGGUUGUAAAGCUCUUUCAGCAGGGAAGAUAAUGACGGUACCUGCAGAAGAAGUCCCGGCUAACUCCGUGCCAGCAGCCGCGGUAAUACGGAGGGGACUAGCGUUGUUCGGAAUUACUGGGCGUAAAGCGCGCGUAGGCGGAUUGUUAAGUCGGGGGUGGAAUCCCGGGGCUCAACCCCGGAACUGCCCUCGAUACUGGCAGUCUUGAGUUCGAGAGAGGUGAGUGGAAUUCCGAGUGUAGAGGUGAAAUUCGUAGAUAUUCGGAGGAACACCAGUGGCGAAGGCGGCUCACUGGCUCGAUACUGACGCUGAGGUGCGAAAGCGUGGGGAGCAAACAGGAUUAGAUACCCCAGUAGUC